AGGUCACCAGAGCCUAGAAGGUCCGUACUCUAAACCCAAAGAUCCAGUGAGCGGAAGAAAACCGAUUAAAACAGAAAAGAGACAGAAAAGCAUGGGAGGCAGCGAUGGGAUCUUGGGGAUGAAAGGAGGGGAAAGAAAUAGCAAUGAAAAAUGGGUAAAGAGACGAGAGAGAUGGUUGAUAAUACUUGGUAUAGUCCUUCACGCAGUUUAUAUGCUAAGCAUAUUCGAUAUCUACUUCAAGACCCCAAUUGUUCAUGGCAUGCAUCCUGUCAAGCCUCGCUUCAAGGACCCUCCUGCUAAACGUCUUGUUCUCUUAGUUGCGGAUGGUUUACGCGCUGAUAAGUUUUUCGAGCCCGAUUCGGAGGGUAAUCACAGAGCACCAUUUCUGAGGAAUAUUAUUAAAAACCGAGGUAGAUGGGGAGUAUCUCAUGCCCGCCCUCCCACGGAAUCAAGGCCCGGACACGUUUCUAUAAUUGCUGGUUUCUACGAGGAUCCUAGUGCUGUCACAAAAGGAUGGAAAGCUAAUCCUGUUGAAUUUGAUUCAGUCUUCAACCAAAGCAGGCAUACAUUUGCCUAUGGUAGCCCCGAUAUUGUUCCAAUAUUCUGCGGUGCCCUUCCACACAGCACAUGGAAAACCUACCCUCAUGAAUUUGAAGACUUCGCAACUGAUGCUUCCUUUUUGGAUGAGUGGUCUUUUGAUCAAUUUCAGAGCCUUCUGAAUAGGUCCACCCAGGACCCAGAGUUGAAGGAGUUACUUCUACAGGAUAAUCUUGUUAUAUUUCUGCAUUUACUUGGCUGUGAUUCAAAUGGGCAUGCACAUCGCCCCUUUUCUUCCAUUUAUCUCAAUAAUGUCAAAGUUGUGGACCACAUUGCGGAACGAGUUUAUUCUCUCCUUGAACAUUACUACAAGGACAAUCGCACAUCAUAUAUAUUUACAGCCGAUCAUGGAAUGAGUGACAAGGGUAGUCAUGGAGAUGGGCAUCCUUCAAAUACAGAUACUCCCCUUGUUGUCUGGGGGGCAGGUGUCAGAUAUCCCAAGCCAAUCUCUAGUAGCAACAACUCUGAUCAUGGUGUUUUUGUUGAUGAACAUGCACAUGACAUGCCAACUCCUGUAGAUUGGGGCUUGAAUGGCAUUGAAAGGGUGGAUGUGAAUCAAGCUGAUAUUGCACCCCUCAUGUCAACACUUCUUGGCCUGCCAUGUCCUGUUAACUCAGUUGGAAAUCUGCCGCUUGGUUAUGUAGAUAUGAUUGAGGCUGAAGAAGUUGAAGCUGUUCUAGCUAAUACAAAGCAAAUCCUCAACCAGUUUCUUUGCAAAUCAAAAAUAAAACAGUCAAACUCCUUAUAUUUCAAGCCUUUUAAACUACUGGCUCAUCAUUCUGCUGCAUUAGAACACAUUGAGUAUCUAGUAUCUAUCAGAGACUAUGGAACUGCAAUGAUGCUGGCUCAGAACCUCAGAAGCUUGGCACUCGAAGGACUUCAAUAUUUUCAAACCUAUGAUUGGCUUAUGCUGAUGACUGUAGUUACUCUUGGGUACAUUGGUUGGAUAAUCUGCCUUCUUCUCCAUAUUCUGCAAUCUUACACUUCAUUGGCAGAUGUAUUUAAGAAUCCUCAUGAUGCAUGGAAGAGAAAUAAUAAGAUGAAGGUAUAUCUGUUUGGUUGUCUGUUGACGGGAGCAAUUUCUGUUUUAUUAUUCAUGGAGCGCUCUCCUCCCAUGUACCAUGCAUACUUUUCCAUGACAGUUUUUCUGUGGACCCGGAUAGUGGGUGAAUAUCAGUUUAUAAAAACUUUGUGCCGAUGGUUAAGUUGGGGAAAGUAUAAUUUUAUAAUUAAGAUUUUGGCUGCUUCUGCUGUAUCAAUAUUCAUCCUUGAAUUCCUGGUGAAUAGUUUCACAGAGAGGAAGCUCUACACAUGGUGUUUUUUUAUUAUGGGGAUUAUAGCUGCUUUUUAUCUUUUUCAUGCAAUUCCCUGGAGAUCUGGCAUACCGAUUUAUGUCUGCUGUGCAUGCUGGUUUCUGUCUGUUUUUACUUUGAUGCCAGCUGACAUUCCUGAUAAUAAUGGACUAGUGAUUGCGAGUGGAGCUAUUAUUGUCAUUACAGGAGCAGCUGCAAGGUGGCUAGAUCAGCAUUCUGAAGGGAAUAAGUAUUGGCUGCGGAUCUGCUACCACAAAAUGGAGAAACCCAGGUCCCCAGUUCUAUUUUUCUUGCAGGUUCUUUUGGUUGGAUUAUCAUCAGCAAUGGUGUCAUUAUCAACAUCUCAUAGAAAAGAGAAACAAGAAUUGCGUGCCGUACACCAGUUAAUAAAUUGGUCUAUUGCCGGUUUCUCAAUGGUUCUCCCACUUUUCUCAGAGAAGAGCCUCUUAUCACGGCUGACCUCUAUAUUUCUUGGUUUUGCACCCACAUUCCUGCUUCUAUCUAUUGGAUAUGAAGCUGUCUUUUAUGGUGCACUUGCUCUUGUGCUUGUGGCAUGGAUACUAUUUGAGAACACAAUUCUCCAUUUGACAAAGGUCGCAAAAUUGUCAGCUUCCAUGAAAAGAACUGGUGAAAAAACCAUGCUUGAAAAUGAUGUUAGAUACUUGCAGCUUUCUGAUGUGAGAAUUCCAUUAAUUUUUCUGAUUUUGUUUAAUGUUGCUUUCUUUGGGACUGGAAAUUUUGCGAGUAUUGCAAGUUUUGAGAUUUCAUCGGUGUACCGGUUUAUUACUGUCUUCAGUCCUUUUUUGAUGGCCGCGCUUCUUAUCUUCAAACUAUUCAUACCAUUUAUGCUUGUUAUAUGUGCAUUCAGUGCUAUAACCAAACUACUUCAAGUUCCACGGGUUGGAUGCUAUUUCCUUGUUAUCCUAUUUUCAGAUGUGAUGACCAUCCACUUUUUCUUCUUGGUCAGAAAUACAGGCAGCUGGAUGGAAAUUGGUAACAGCAUCAGCCAUUUUGGGAUUGUGAGUGCCCAAGUUGUGUUUGUGCUAUUACUUUUUGCACUCACAAACACAUACACAAAAGACAUCCAAAUUGGAUCAGCCGGCUCGUCAUCUCAGAAAGCAGCUUAACCCUCGAAGUGCUAAUUAAGAAAUCACUUUUUGCAACAAGGUUUACUGCAAGGUGAUUUUGUUGCGCUCGUAUGACAGCUUUAAUGGAUUAAGAACAGCUACGUUGUUUCAUUCUUUUUGGUCAUUGAUUCAUCUGAAUUCCAAUGCUUCUUGUGCAUACAAACGAGCUGUUGACCUUUUGGGGAUUUUCCAAGUUCCUUCCAGUUCCAUUAUACAAAAGUAAAGCUGAAUUUUGAUACCGGUCUUACCUAGACAGCCAAGAGUUUGUUCUGUGCGAAGCUUUAUCUAUUCCAACUUGCUUUGAAGAAUUCAGGAAUUUGUAUGUAUGGCUGUCAAAUUUUCUUGGAGACGCAAUUUCUCAAAUUGAUCUUUGGAGGUGUACUUGUUUUAUUUUCAUUCUAAACGUCUUUGUAUAUAUAAAAUAUAAGUAGAAACCUAGAAACCACCUUAAAGGGAGAAUAUGCCAGGUAAGGUCGUUGGAAUUGACUUGAAAUAUUUUUUUUAAAAAAAAAAUGUAAAAGUGAGUUUUCCA